rnacentral:snRNA from 1 species
AAAUUUGCGCAGUGGCAGUAUCAUAGCCAAUGAGGUUAAUCUGAGGUGUGAUUAUUGCUAGUUGAAAACUUUCAGACAAAACAAUG